CUUCAGUGCUGCAGCUAACGCAUUAAGCAUUCCGCCUGGGGAGUACGGCCGCAAGGCUGAAACUCAAAGGAAUUGACGGGGGCCCGCACAAGCGGUGGAGCAUGUGGUUUAAUUCGAAGCUACGCGAAGAACCUUACCAGGUCUUGACAUACUAUGCAAAUCUAAGAGAUUAGACGUUCCCUUCGGGGACAUGGAUACAGGUGGUGCAUGGUUGUCGCCAGCUCGUGUCGUGAGAUGUUGGGUUAAGUCCCGCAACGAGCGCAACCCUUAUUAUCAGUUGCCAGCAUUAAGUUGGGCACUCUGGUGAGACUGCCGGUGACAAACCGGAGGAAGGUGGGGAUGACGUCAAAUCAUCAUGCCCCUUAUGACCUGGGCUACACACGUGCUACAAUGGAUGGUACAACGAGUUGCGAACUCGCGAGAGUAAGCUAAUCUCUUAAAGCCAUUCUCAGUUCGGAUUGUAGGCUGCAACUCGCCUACAUGAAGUCGGAAUCGCUAGUAAUCGCGGAUCAGCAUGCCGCGGUGAAUACGUUCCCGGGCCUUGUACACACCGCCCGUCACACCAUGAGAGUUUGUAACACCCAAAGUCGGUGGGGUAACCUUUAGGAACCAGCCGCCUAAGGUGGGACAGAUGAUUAGGGUGAAGUCGUAACAAGGUAACCA
rnacentral:rRNA from 1 species